CUUUGAUGGACCUGUCACGGUAAUUGGGAGGGAAGAAAUCAGUUUUUACACUGCAGAUGUUGCACAUCAAUGCUGCCUCCCAGUCACCAGACAUCCAGGGUAAGGAGUCUCCAGCUCCCACCUCCAGUGUGAGGAAAAGCUCAGCACAGAGCCCAGGAGCUCACCAGGGGAUGGACUAGGAGCUCUGUUCUGCUUUCAGUGCCCACCCUGCCCGAUACAGCAGGGCGAAAGUGAGUCCCUUGGAGACACGGGGAGUCUGCAGGCAGCAGCUGCAGCAGAUAGAGACCUGAUUAAGAGCUAUUUGAAGCAGUCCUGAGAAGAGCUGGAGGAGAGAAGAAAUUAGGAUGCCAUUGCAAAAAUCAGAAUCACUGAAAGCUGGGGCUGGACAUCAGAAAGGCAAAAGGGCUGAGGAAGCAAAGGAGUGACACUGUGGCUAUCUCUGCCUUUUCCAGUACUCCUCAGCUCAGGAGUUACACUCAGUGCUGGGGAAAGCUCACUGAUGCUGUGAAAAACCAACUUUGCCCUGGUCAACUGUGGGAACACAGGGCCACAGUGAGAGCCCCCCCUCACCUGCCCUAGCACUGCCUCUGAACAGGUUUUCCAGAAUUACAUAAAAUGUUCCAAUUUAUCCUCUGCUUAAAUGUGCUUCCCCUUGAAGAUGUGCUUUUGGUCUGGAUGCUUAUUCCUUCCACUUCACCUACUGCUCAGCCCAGGGUUUGAGGUGAAAAAAUAACACCUAAGGAACCCUGAGCUCUCCUCUUGUGUGUUUGAUCCCUGCUGGCUGUGCUUGCUGGGUUUUCAACAGAAAGUUACCUGUACAGAAGGAACCCAUCACCUCCAGCUGGGUGCCAGCCCUGGCUGCCACUGAGGUUGGAUCAGCUCUGAUUCUUCUGGAA